rnacentral:tRNA from 1 species
CGGGGUGUAGCUCAGUCUGGUAGAGCAUUAGCUUUGGGAGCUAAGGGUCGCGAGUUCGAAUCCCGCCGCCCCGACCA